CGUCUAAUGGGCAUGCGCACGACUUCAGUAACUCUACUGCGCCUGCGUCUCCUCCCAAACAUCCUGCGCCUACUGGCAGGGCUACUGGGCAUGCAGUAAUUGAGGGACAGCCCGCCCAGGGGAAGAACGAAGAGCAGAGACGGAGAGCCUGGAAAAGGAUUUCCCAUUUUGGCUACACUUCACAUGCAGCACAUUAUGUGGAAGUACACAGCAGUUCCCCCCUUAUCUGCAAAGGACAUGUUCAGAGAUCUCCAGUGGAUGACUGAAACCAUGGAUAGUACUGAAUCCUAUAUAUACAGUGUUUUUUUUUCCCAUAUAUAUAUGAGAUAAAGUUUAUAAAUUAGGCACCAUAAGAGAUUAACAACAACUCAUAAUAAAAUAUGAGUUAAACUCAUAUGCAAUAUAAUAUAUGCAAUAAAAUUGAAAUACGGUCAAA